CCUACGGGAGGCAGCAGUGAGGAAUAUUGGUCAAUGGGCGGGAGCCUGAACCAGCCAAGUCGCGUGAGGGAAGACGGUCCUACGGAUUGUAAACCUCUUUUGCCGGGGAGCAACGGGGUCCUUGCGAGGUCCCAAUGAGAGUACCCGGAGAAAAAGCAUCGGCUAACUCCGUGCCAGCAGCCGCGGUAAUACGUAUGGAGCAAGCGUUAUCCGGAUUUAUUGGGUUUAAAGGGAGCGUAGAUGGGUUGUUAAGUCAGUUGUGAAAGUUUGCGGCUCAACCGUAAAAUUGCAAUUGAUACUGGCGU
rnacentral:rRNA from 1 species